rnacentral:snoRNA from 1 species
AACCCAUGGUGAGGGCACCUUCACAAUAGAUCCUUGUAUCUCUCCCAUGCAUCGUAAAGUGUUUCUAAGUCAUUCUGCACAAAAGAAGAGAUAUCAUUUCGUAACUU